rnacentral:rRNA from 1 species
UACGAAGGGUGCAAACGUUGCUCGGAAUUAUUGGGCGUAAAGAGCUCGUAGGCGGUUCGUCGCGUCGGCUGUGAAAACCCGGAGCUCAACUCCGGGCCUGCAGUCGAUACGGGCGGACUUGAGUGUUGCAGGGGAGACUGGAAUUCCUGGUGUAGCGGUGAAAUGCGCAGAUAUCAGGAGGAACACCGGUGGCGAAGGCGGGUCUCUGGGCAACUACUGACGCUGAGGAGCGAAAGCGUGGGGAGCGAACAGG